rnacentral:rRNA from 1 species
UACGUAGGGGGCAAGCGUUGUCCGGAUUUAUUGGGCGUAAAGAGCUCGUAGGCGGUCUGUCACGUCGGCUGUGAAAACCCGGAGCUCAACUCCGGGCCUGCAGUCGAUACGGGCAAACUGGAGUGUUGCAGGGGAGACUGGAAUUCCUGGUGUAGCGGUGAAAUGCGCAGAUAUCAGGAGGAACACCGGUGGCGAAGGCGACUACCUGGCCUGUUCUUGACGCUGAGGCGCGAAAGCUAGGGGAGCAAACGGG